AUUGAACGCUGGCGGCAGGCCUAACACAUGCAAGUCGAGCGGCAGCGGAAAGUAGCUUGCUACUCUGCCGGCGAGCGGCGGACGGGUGAGUAAUGUCUGGGGAUCUGCCUGAUGGAGGGGGAUAACUACUGGAAACGGUAGCUAAUACCGCAUAACGUCGCAAGACCAAAGCGGGGGACCUUCGAGCCUCACGCCAUCGGAUGAACCCAGAUGGGAUUAGCUAGUAGGUGGGGUAAUGGCUCACCUAGGCGACGAUCCCUAGCUGGUCUGAGAGGAUGACUAGCCACACUGGGACUGAGACACGGCCCAGACUCCUACGGGAGGCAGCAGUGGGGAAUAUUGCACAAUGGGCGCAAGCCUGAUGCAGCCAUGCCGCGUGUGUGAAGAAGGCCUUCGGGUUGUAAAGCACUUUCAGCGAGGAGGAAGGGUGGUGUGUUAAUAGCACACGACAUUGACGUUACUCGCAGAAGAAGCACCGGCUAACUCCGUGCCAGCAGCCGCCGUAA
rnacentral:rRNA from 1 species